AUAUAUAAAAUCGUCGUCUCCUUUCCUCAGCUAACCCUUACUCUCUCUCUCUUUCUCUCUCGCACCAGCAACCGCAAUACAAACAAGCAAUUUAGGCCAGGCCACGUCUAUAGCUAGAUUUGGCUUGGUUCGUUCUCUGAUUAUUCUCUCUUAUACUUCUCCGAUUAAGAACUUGUAGAAAAUGGCCGAUUCUGAGGAUAUUCAGCCCCUUGUCUGCGACAAUGGAACUGGAAUGGUGAAGGCUGGGUUUGCUGGGGAUGAUGCUCCCAGGGCAGUGUUUCCAAGUAUUGUGGGUAGACCAAGACACACUGGUGUCAUGGUUGGAAUGGGGCAGAAGGAUGCUUAUGUUGGUGACGAAGCACAAUCUAAGAGAGGUAUCUUGACCUUGAAAUACCCUAUUGAGCAUGGUAUUGUUAGCAACUGGGAUGAUAUGGAGAAGAUUUGGCAUCACACUUUCUACAAUGAGCUUCGUGUUGCUCCUGAGGAGCACCCAGUCCUCCUUACAGAGGCUCCUCUUAACCCUAAGGCUAACAGAGAGAAGAUGACUCAAAUCAUGUUUGAGACCUUCAAUGUGCCUGCAAUGUAUGUUGCUAUCCAGGCUGUCCUUUCCCUGUAUGCCAGUGGUCGUACAACUGGUAUUGUGCUGGAUUCUGGUGAUGGUGUGUCUCACACUGUGCCCAUCUAUGAAGGGUAUGCCCUUCCACAUGCCAUCCUUCGUUUGGAUCUUGCUGGUCGUGAUCUCACUGAUGCUUUGAUGAAGAUCCUCACCGAGAGAGGUUACAUGUUCACCACCACUGCUGAACGGGAAAUUGUCCGUGACAUGAAGGAGAAACUUGCAUAUGUUGCCCUUGACUAUGAGCAGGAGCUUGAGACUGCCAAGAGUAGCUCCUCUGUUGAGAAGAACUAUGAGCUACCUGAUGGUCAGGUCAUCACCAUUGGAGCUGAGAGAUUCCGUUGCCCAGAAGUCCUCUUCCAGCCAUCUCUCAUCGGAAUGGAAGCUGCUGGUAUCCACGAGACUACUUACAAUUCUAUCAUGAAGUGUGAUGUGGAUAUCAGAAAGGAUCUAUAUGGUAAUAUUGUGCUCAGUGGUGGUUCCACUAUGUUCCCUGGUAUUGCUGACCGUAUGAGCAAGGAAAUCACUGCCCUUGCCCCAAGCAGCAUGAAGAUUAAGGUUGUUGCACCACCAGAGAGAAAAUACAGUGUCUGGAUUGGAGGGUCAAUCCUUGCAUCUCUCAGCACCUUCCAGCAGAUGUGGAUUUCCAAGGGUGAGUACGACGAGUCUGGCCCAUCCAUCGUCCACAGGAAGUGCUUCUAAGUUCCGAACAGUGCGGUGAUGUUCUACAGAGCUUGGAUACAGCAUGGGCAAUAUUGAACUCUUAUAAAGUGUGUGAUCCGGUUCUUCAUAAAUUCAUAGAACUUGCCAGAAGGUUCUUCGCGUUCUUCUCCAAAAUCUUACACCAUCAAUUCCCUUGAAGCAGCAAAGCAUCUUAUAAAGACAAAUCAAACCCUAAAGAUGCCCUGAGGGAUCAACAUUUUGAACAAUCCAGGGAUGCUCAGGUAGCUUAUGCAGCGGUGAUCUCUCUACAGAAUCCCUGGCAAGCAUCUAUUGAUCAAAAAGAGAAAAAAAAACAAGAGAACAUGAGUGCAGAUCGCAAGCACGCUAGGCUCCCUGAGUAGUAAGGUCCUUUGCAGCAGAAGAGACAAAUGGUUUUGGAGGGAACUUCAGAUCCAUUAGCACAAUCCUAUAGAUAAGGACUGUGUGUUCUACUGACUUGUUGCUUCUGCAAUCAACUGCUGCUGAACUUUUUGUCUAUUGCUGCUGCUGCUGGCGCUCCAAGCUGCGACUGCUGGAGACUUUCUGUCACGUGAAAAGCUACUGCUUAAUUUGUUUGUUUAUUUCUGCUGGAACUGAAGCUGGAAUCAAUGACUGCUGCAACUGAUUUUUCUACUACUUCAGUGGAGACUCUAUUGCUAUGAGUCUGCAGCCCACGUGAUUCUGCAACUGUAAUUUCCUACAACUGCAACGUUGCUACUGUCAUGUUCUAGGAGACUUGCUGCUGCCUCGAGUCUGUUACAAGCUGCUGAUUUUCUUCUUCCAAAGACCAAAUCGUUGCUGGUUCGUUUUCUUCACAACGUAGAAUGCUGUUACGUCUUGUGCUCCAAGCUUCUGAAAAAUAAAUCUUGUUAUCGUCAUCGUUUUGGAAGACUAAUUUGCUAAAGACACUGCUGCUUCACAUGCGCCUUUUCUUCUUCCCAACCUAUUGGUCCUUCUUUCCAACCUAUAGGCUCUGAUACGUUGGUUUUGCUCUAAGAAAAACACAGCAGCUAAUACUUUCUCUUUAUUAUUUUCUUAUACUUUCUUGAAUAUAAUUUUGAAUGUUUAAGGUGACUAUA